UACGAAGGGUGCAAGCGUUACUCGGAAUUACUGGGCGUAAAGCGUGCGUAGGUGGUGAGUUAAGUCUGUCGUGAAAGCCCCGGGCUCAACCUGGGAAUGGCGAUGGAUACUGUCUCGCUAGAGUGCGGUAGAGGAGAGUGGAAUUCCCGGUGUAGCAGUGAAAUGCGUAGAGAUCGGGAGGAACAUCAGUUGCGAAGGCGGCUCUCUGGACCAGCACUGACACUGAGGCACGAAAGCGUGGGGAGCAAACAGG
rnacentral:rRNA from 1 species